AUUGAACGCUGGCGGCAGGCUUAACACAUGCAAGUCGAGCGGAGAGAGGUAGCUUGCUACUGAUCUUAGCGGCGGACGGGUGAGUAAUGCUUAGGAAUCUGCCUAUUAGUGGGGGACAACAUUUCGAAAGGAAUGCUAAUACCGCAUACGUCCUACGGGAGAAAGCAGGGGAUCUUCGGACCUUGCGCUAAUAGAUGAGCCUAAGUCGGAUUAGCUAGUUGGUGGGGUAAAGGCCUACCAAGGCGACGAUCUGUAGCGGGUCUGAGAGGAUGAUCCGCCACACUGGGACUGAGACACGGCCCAGACUCCUACGGGAGGCAGCAGUGGGGAAUAUUGGACAAUGGGCGCAAGCCUGAUCCAGCCAUGCCGCGUGUGUGAAGAAGGCCUUAUGGUUGUAAAGCACUUUAAGCGAGGAGGAGGCUACUUUAGAUAAUACCUAGAGAUAGUGGACGUUACUCGCAGAAUAAGCACCGGCUAACUCUGUGCCAGCCGCCGCCGUAAUAC
rnacentral:rRNA from 1 species